AUUGAACGCUGGCGGCAGGCCUAACACAUGCAAGUCGAACGGUAACAGGAAGACGCUUGCUUCUUUGCUGUCGCGUGUCGGACGGGUGAGUAAUGUCUGGGAAACUGCCUGAUUGCGUGGGAUAACUACUGGAAACGGUAGCUAAUACCGCAUAACGUCGCAAGACCAAAGAGGGGGACUUUCGGGCCUCUUGCCAUCUGAUGUGCCCAGAUGGGGUUCGCUAGCAGGUGGGGUAACGGCGCCCCUAGGCGACGAUCCCUAGCUGGUCUGAGAGGAGGACCAGCCACACUGGAACUGAGACACGGUCCAGACUCCUACGGGAGGCAGCAGUGGGGAAUAUUGCACAAUGGGCGCAAGCCUGAUGCAGCCAUGCCGCGUGUAUGAAGAAGGCCUUCGGGUUGUAAAGUACUUUCAGUGGGGAAGAAGGGAGUAAAGUUAAUACCUUGGCGCAUUGACGUUACCCGCAGAAGAAGCACCGGCUAACUUCGUG
rnacentral:rRNA from 1 species